ACGACCUCAGAUCAGACGAGACAACCCGCUGAAUUUAAGCAUAUUACUAAGCGGAGGAGAAGAACCUAACCAGGAUUCCCUCAGUAGCGGCGAGUGAAGAGGGAAGAGC
rnacentral:rRNA from 1 species